AAAACAGUGAGUGGUAGUCAUGAUUACUUAACCAUGAAGUCAUUUUUUACUUAACAAUUGUCUUUUCUGUUAGGCUGGAAGUUCAAGAUGCCCAGAAUGAAGUCUGGGGUGGAGAACCAAAGGAUCCAGUGAACAGUUGAAGGCCUGAAGCUCACUGCAAAGUCCCGUGGGAGUCUGUUCAUAUCCAUCUGCACUAGAAGGCUAAGGAGUGGACUGGAACCCUGGAAACAACUGUUCAAAG
rnacentral:lncRNA from 1 species